UAGAAUGGGUGUCAUUAGUGUUAUAGG
rnacentral:sRNA from 1 species